UCCUGAAAUACUGGUAGGAAAUUCUACAAAGGCUGAAGGUUUGCUCCAUCUCCUGGGCUUCGGGGAUUAUUGCAGCAGAGCUGCUUCUGCAGGUGGCUUCUGAGCCUGCAGGGAAGCUCCUGUCACUGUGCUUGCCUGGCACUUUCUAGCUGUUACACCUGUGCUUUGGGAAGACGAGGCAAUGAACCACCAUCCAGGGAUGAAAAUGUUCAGAGAAAUAGGUUGGAAGUUUUUAAGAAAAUGCACAAACAAGAAAAAUCAACUAAGUGGAACAAUCCUGCAUGAGAGCCUGCUGGGUUUCAUGGGAGAGUUCACCCGUAUGUGAGCACCUGCCUUAGGAAGAAUAAGCAG